rnacentral:rRNA from 1 species
CUAUCGGUGUUCGCCUAAGCCAUGCGAGUCAUAUGUAGCAAUACAUGGCGUACUGCUCAGUAACACGUGGAUAACCUGCCCUUGGGACCGGCAUAACCCCGGGAAACUGGGGAUAAUUCCGGAUAACGCAUAUUUGCUGGAAUGCUUUAUGCGUCAAAAGGAUUCGUCUGCCCAAGGAUGGGUCUGCGGCCUAUCAGGUAGUAGUGGGUGUAAUGUACCUACUAGCCAGCGACGGGUACGGGUUGUGAGAGCAAGAGCCCGGAGAUGGAUUCUGAGACAUGAAUCCAGGCCCUACGGGGCGCAGCAGGCGCGAAAACUUUACAAUGCGGGAAACCGUGAUAAGGGGACACCGAGUGCCAGCAUCAUAUGCUGGCUGUCCGGAUGUGUAAAAUACAUCCGUUAGCAAGGGCCGGGCAAGACCGGUGCCAGCCGCCGCGGUAACACCGGCGGCCCGAGUGGUGAUCGUGAUUAUUGGGUCUAAAGGGUCCGUAGCCGG